rnacentral:sRNA from 1 species
GCUGGGCAUGGAGGCACAUGCCUGUAAUCCCAGCUACUCAGGAGGCUGAGGCAGGAGGAUCACAGGUUUGAGGCCAAUCUUCAUAAUUAAAUGAGACCUGUCUCAA